rnacentral:sRNA from 1 species
UCUGCUUCUCUCUCAUCAUCGGCAUAUCCGACCGCCUCUACCAUUGGGUCGAGUUGCCCGCCCUCGAAUACGGACGGAGGCUGUCGCAGAGUCUCAUUCCCG